CAUUUCUUUUUUUUUUUUUUUAAAGCAGCUAAACCUCAUCUUUCUUGAAGUGAACACACCUCCCUUUUUAGACAUUUUAGUUGGCUUUGGCUAUGUAGAACCUAUGGUGAUAAUUUCCUGAUUGUUUUGCAUAAAUAUUUGACAAUAAAUUGGCAUUUUCAAUUGAAAAACUGGUUACUGGGCAAAAGUGAGUAAUUUGUAGUUGAGUUGCUUUCCAUGAUGUUACAGACUUACAGUCAUCUUGACUUGUCUGGUGCUUGUUGUAAUUUAGGGCUAGGAAAGAAACGUUUAUUUUUAUAUUGCAGUAAAUGUUGUUAAUGCGGUUUGUAGUGUCUUUCCUUCUUAUCAGUCUUCAGAUGUAGAGGUUAUCUGUGUGUCCAAGAUGUAUAUUAUAUUAUCAUGUUGUAUUGCCAUGGACCAAAAUGAAUCAAUCAAUAACAAACAAGAUUUUGAUUCAUUCUUUUAUUUGUUUCAAGUUAAUGAGGCAAAAAGAAUCAUAGAUCUUUAUGAUUGUUGGUGAUUGCAGGCAACAGGAUGAGGAGUUGGAUGAGCUUAGUGCAAGUGUGGAGCGUAUUGGAGGUGUUGGGCUUACUAUACAUGAAGAACUCCUUGCA
rnacentral:misc_RNA from 1 species